rnacentral:rRNA from 1 species
UACGAAGGGGGCGAGCGUUGUUCGGAUUUACUGGGCGUAAAGGGCGCGUAGGCGCGCCGGAAGUCGCGUGUGAAAGCCCCGGGCUCAACCUGGGAGGUGCGCGCGAGACUGUGGUGCUGGAGUUCGGGAGAGGAGCGUGGAAUUCCCAGUGUAGAGGUGAAAUUCGUAGAUAUUGGGAAGAACACCGGUGGCGAAGGCGGCGCUCUGGACCGAGACUGACGCUGAGGCGCCGAAGGCGUGGGGAGCAAACAGGAUAGAUACCCGUGGUACGUCCAGAACCAACGAUCUCCGU